GACUGCCGGGACGCUUGCAAUGGCGAGCGAUUUCGUUGGCAACAAAUGCAAAUAGCUCCGGUCCGCUAGAAAGCAAAGAUAAAUCUGAUCCUUACGAAAUAGGGCAUACAAAGGUGGAUACAUACCAAAGCACAAGGCUCUACCUUUAAGAUUUUGUCUAUUCGAAAUUUGGGGUGCACGGCUUAAUGCAUAUCUACUAUACGAGAGGCUACACAACCCCCAUUUGAUCUACGAGUUAUGUUUAAGGAGGUUUUGUUUCUCUCGACAUGAAAGCGUACACGGACAGAACUGGAUCGCAGCAGCUCGUCAUCCAGAUCAACAAGUAUAUAGUAUAUAUAGUAUACAUUUGCACCCAUUUUCAAUAUGUUUACUUUAAAAGUUUAAAUGUAGCUUAUUUGUUACGAGCACGGCAAAGCUCGUGAUUGCUGAGUUUGCUUGAAAUAGCCUAAAAUGAAAUGUUUUUCAUUCAAAAAGUAUACACUGACCGAUACUUCCUUGCGCAUCUAUAAUAUACAUAGGUCCGAUUCGGACAUUUGCAUGGUUCUGUCGUCAAUUGUUUUUUUUAAC